CCUAGUGGUGAGAGAUCCGUGUAUAGAAGAGCAGGUGCAGGGUUCAAAACCUGGCUGGCAUAAAGUUGCGUUUGUGUUUGUUUUAGAAUUCAUAUUUUUUUUCUCUCCUUUAAAGGUGUGGGGCCCAUGGAGCGUAAAUGAAUUGUGUUUCCAGGAGCAUGCAGAAUAUUGGAUUUCAAAACACUGCAACAGUUUGUUUUAUUUUUUAUUUUUUUCGCUUUCUGUUUUUUUAUAUCUUUUGGAGUUAAAUGAUAACAAAAAUAAAAUGGGCUAGAAAUCUUAACAAAAUUAUUGGGUGGGAUUAGAUAAAGCUAAACCCUAAAAGUUUUCUUUAAGAAAAAGGGGUAGGACGGGAGAAGGAAAAGAGAGAAAGGGUGUAAGUUAUAGUUUCCAGUGGCUGUGGUAGAGAAGAGGAAUCAUCUAGAGAGACGGUAAUGCAGAUAUUUCUGACUCGAAGUAGAUAUCGGAAAGGAUGGAGUGGACUCGGGGAUUUAUGGCUUAUUUUGUUGAUUUAAAUCAAACAGUGAAGACUAUGAAAUUUUCUUUUAAUUUCUAGUAUUUAGUUGGAACUUUGGUUAUUUAAUAUUAUUAUUAUUUCAAAUUAA